GACGGAGGGUGCAAGCGUUGUUCGGAAUUACUGGGCGUAAAGGGCGCGUAGGCGGUCUGUUAAGUUCGGUGUGAAAGCCCUCGGCUUACCCGGGGAACUGCGCCGGAAACCGACAGACUCGAGUACCGGAGAGGAGGGUGGAAUUCCUGGUGUAGCGGUGAAAUGCGUAGAUAUCAGGAGGAACACCGGUGGCGAAGGCGGCCCUCUGGACGGAUACUGACGCUGAGGCGCGAAAGCCAGGGGAGCAAACGGG
rnacentral:rRNA from 1 species